GACGAACGCUGGCGGCGUGCCUAAUACAUGCAAGUUGAGCGCUGAAGGUUGGUACUUGUACCAACUGGAUGAGCAGCGAACGGGUGAGUAACGCGUGGGGAAUCUGCCUUUGAGCGGGGGACAACAUUUGGAAACGAAUGCUAAUACCGCAUAAAAACUUUAAACACAAGUUUUAAGUUUGAAAGAUGCAAUUGCAUCACUCAAAGAUGAUCCCGCGUUGUAUUAGCUAGUUGGUGAGGUAAAGGCUCACCAAGGCGAUGAUACAUAGCCGACCUGAGAGGGUGAUCGGCACAAUUGGGACUGAGACACGGCCCAAACUCCUACGGGAGGCAGCAGUAGGGAAUCUUCGGCAAUGGAAGAAAGUCUGACCGAGCAACGCCGUGUGAGUGAAGAAGGUUUUCGGAUCGUAAAACUCUGUUGGUAGAGAAGAACGUUGGUGAGAGUGGAAAGCUCAUCAAGUGACGGUAACUACCCAGAAAGGGACGGCUAACUACGUGCCAGCCGCCGCGGUAA
rnacentral:rRNA from 1 species